GGCGGGCAAGGCUUGCAAUGAUUAACAAAUACAAUAUGGUACUGGGUGACAGAUGCAGGGAUAAGACCUUGAGAUUGAGACGCAGGUGCUCACACUGUACUGCCACUUGCAGGUCAACUUUCCAAAAAUCAAGACCCUGCAGCUUGUGUUCUAUCAUCAGCAGAUGGUGACGCUUAAAGCCUCAAACAAUACCUCUAUAUAACAUACACGCACUCACGCAGACUUACCCGGAAUUUUUAAAGCCGUUACACACCAGCUUGCAGGUAUGAACGAUCAGUCGAUGCCAACAAAUGGUGUGUGGAAAGGGGAAACGUGCCAUCACCUUUGCAACGUAAGCCAUGCUGCUUAGCCAAGGUAACCCUGAUGUCAGCUACAUUUUUAUUUAUAUAUGAACGUCGUUUGAACAAAUCGCUAAUGCAAGCUUAUUGCUAGAAGUCUGUUUUGUUGAAGGUCUUAAGCUGGUCACUCUUAGAGUGAUGCCAGCCAUUGGAAGGAAAAUCAAAAUGUGGAUGAGUAAUACUCCCUCCAUCCCAAAUUAUAAGUCAUUCCAAGAAUCUUGGAGAGUCAAAGCAUCUCAAGUUUGAUCAAAAUUAUAGAGAAAAUUAUAAAGAUUUAUGAUAUCAAAU
rnacentral:lncRNA from 1 species